CGUCCGCCCUGGAGGUUGAUCUCAACAUUAGCCAACCAUUAACGUUUUGUGAGCUUGUAGGGACCCAGAAUUAACCAAUUUCAUCAGUCUGUGUUUCAUUAGCUUUUUAUAAAAACCAUAACAAGGACAUUAUUAACCCUGUAAAACACAGAGCAGCGGCGGUUUUCUUUCUUUUCUUGCAUUUUAGAGUGCUAACGUUAGCUAACUACUCUGCGUCCUGCUAGCUGACUUAACGGCUAAUUAGGAGCUUUUUGCUAGCUUAUUAGCAUGCUAAUUAGUUAGCCCGGAAACACCGGCUGUUUGAACCAUGUUUGAUUAACCCGGUGCUUCAGAGUUGAGCUUCAAUGCACUGAAAAUGAUUUAAAAAAAAUGAAGUUGAAGUUGUCACCUCAUCUGCAGCCUGCCUCUUGUCCUCCCACCAACAAUGACUGCAGCGCCAUCUUGUGAAAGAAUGAAGAAACUGCUGCCUACAGAACAGGUGCAUACUGAGCAGGUGGGCCCUUACGUAGGAGCCUCGAGUGUUUGGAGCUGGAGUAAACCAUACCUCACACUAUUUUAAAAAAUGACAGACUGUGCGUAUGAGAAGUAAAGACCAUCUGGUCCCACAGGAGCUGAGAGAGAUGCCAGACAAAUGGAAAGAGAAACAACAGAAAACCUGUGUGGGGGAUCGGUGGCGAGACUUGGAAGGAGCAGCAGCGAGAGAGAGGAACAACCGAUGUGACAGAAAAGAGCAAGGGGUAGAUUAUCAUCUGCCAUUUAUCUGGGGGCAUGAAGGUGCCAUUUGUUAUUUGGACAAUGAAUGGUGCUCACUGGAAAACCUCCCGAUUACACACAGUGAGGAAACAGUAAUGAGACCAACAGCUCUGUUGCCAUGGAGACCGGAAGCAAGAUUUUUGACACCUUGGACUCCUACGGCUGCCAUAGUUUUCAUUUGGGUUUUGGUUUAGUUGUUAAUUUUACAGUUAAUUUGAGCUUUUGUGAGGUGGAACAGCGUUACAUUGAACUUCUUUAUCGAUGAAUAUGCUCAUCUCUGUACAACCUUUGAAUUAGACUGCCCCAUAAUGUGUUACUGAACAAAGUGACAGCUAUUGCAUUGAAAUAUAAUUGCACUUUAACAGCAUUUGGUUUGUAAUCACACUAAAACAGAAUGCAGCACAAAUCUCCAGCAGCAGACACUGUUCCACCUGUGCCAUCCAAUCCAUUCAGUUGAGUUUAAUUCUUGUGAACCAGAGAGCCAUUAUGCAAAUGUUAGCUCAUCUGUAUGUAAAUGUCAUGUUUUUUUGUGUGGAGUCUGACUUCCAUAGAAACACAUAGAAAUGUUCAGCUCAGGUUUCAUCCCAUCAUACAGCACGGGCUUUUUCGAAUGUUUGCCUUGAAAUAAAAUAAAACUCAUCAGUUUCUUUAUUGUCCACAUGAAUCACCCGAGCCCAUUUUUGUGCUGUGACAGCGAGAUCUAUCAUAGUAGCUACAAAACCAACACCUUGCACCUAUAAAAGCAGCGCGGCAGCUGUCUCUAGCUCCAUGCCUAACCAGAUA